rnacentral:lncRNA from 1 species
UUGGGCACAAUUUUUCGUUCAAUCUUCUCCUAUUUCCGUGAGCUUAGGGUUUACUUUUUCGUCCCUCCCGUUACGCUGAUUGUAUGAACAAAACACCAAUCUGUAAUAAUCUCUUCUUCUAGAGGCGGUUUCAUUUAUUGAUUUUGUAUUUAUUCACUCAAUAAUUUGUUUAAUCCGACUGAUCGAUAUAUAAUUGUAGCUGGUUUGAUUCAAUUGGUUUUGUAUUUUUCCCGUUAACGUUAAUUGAUAUAGCAGCUGAAAGGCUCAAUUUCUUCGAAAAGUGAAGAUGGGCAGAGAGCGGCAACUGUCUCGGUCGCCGUCGCACCGUAGAAGGUACUCGCCGUCGCCUUCUGAGGUGAGGUAUGGACGCCGGAGCCGGAGAGAGAGAAGCAGAUCUCCUUAUUCCUAUAGCAGGUGAUACCCUUUUACUUAUACUUGCAGGUCGAUUAUAUUAGGGAUUUGUGUUUUUAUAUUUAAAUUUAGUUGCUGAUGACAAUCAAUUAAUAUUAAGAGGCGAUGGGGAUUUUCUUUUCCCAUAAUGAGUUCCUAUAAGCUUAUGUUGAGAGGACAGCUCCGGCUAUCUACUUUACUGAUCAGACCAUUAUGAAUUUGUAAUAUGCAGAAACUAUUAUUACAAUAUGUGGUUUGAUGAUUUUUUUUGUACCAGGUUUCGGGUGCUUUUGGUUGCCAUUACCACUAGAAAAGUAAAGAUUUUAACGUAAAAUGAGAGAAAGACCAAUCUUUAUUAGAUUAAGAUAGGGUAGCUUAUUUGAAAUUGAAUAUGAUGAUGUUACGUUUCAGGAUAAGUUAUAAUGAUGAAGUUUUAGUUUAAAAUUUGAGUAUAUGUGUAUUCAUUACUCUACUUUGGAAACAAAACUAAUUUGAAUUCCGUAACUUUUGUUAGUUAAAUGUGUUCCAAUUAUUUUGUUGAUGUAUUCAAUCUGGACACUUUUCCGGACUAUUGUGGGGUGCACUGUUGUGAACUUUACCCGUAAUAAUUGGUCAUCAUAUUGGUUUUAUUUGUUUUAGAUGAUCUAGCAGAUGCUUACAGAUUGUGUAUCUUUGGUGUCCUAGUGCCAUGUUGCUGCCUAUGAGAGUUUUCGCUUUCCAUCAGCACCUUGAUAUUCUUCAUGCUUAUGGUUGUUGACUUGAUGAUCUGUCACCUUUCGUAAAGCUGCUAAAUUGUAAUUUUAAUGGCUUAUACAUCCUCAUGCUGGGAGCUUCUAUGCAACCAAAAAAAAACAUUAGAAAGUGAGAUACAUACUCUUUUAACACAUAGGUUGAAUGAGGUAGCCAAGAUGAUUGACCUUUGAGAAAUCUAGAAAAGAAACAAUGGCUCCUUUUGACUGAGAAGUAAGCUGGUGAUAGGUGCCGUUGGUGUUAUUUCACUGCUCGGUUGUGAAAAUAGCAGUGUC